rnacentral:rRNA from 1 species
UAUCUCUGUAGAGUCUGCAUAUCAAUAAGCGGAGGAAAAGAAACUAACUAAGGAUUCCCUUCAGUAACGGCGAGUGAAGCGGGAAGAGCUCAAAUUUGAAAGUCUUCAAGGUUUUACCUUGACGAAUUGUAGUUUAAAGAAGUGUUUUCUGUUGAAGUUUUCGGUAAAAGUUCUUUGGAAUAGGACAUCAUAGAGGGUGAGAAUCCCGUAUUUGACCGUUAUUUUCAGCUGUGUGAUACACUUUCAAAGAGUCGGAUUGUUUGGGAAUGCAGUCCAAAAUGGGUGGUAAAUUUCAUCUAAAGCUAAAUAUUGGCGAGAGACCGAUAGCGAACAAGUACCGUGAGGGAAAGAUGAAAAGAACUUUGAGAAGAGAGUUAAACAGUACGUGAAAUUGUCAAAAGGGAAGCGUUUGACACCAGUGUUGUUUUCUACGAAAAUCAAUUUAUGAUGGCUUGAUGCUAAGCUUUAAGACUUUAUCCGCUUGUUGUUUAGUUUUCUUGUCUUUGUGAAUGCACUUUUCGUGGAACAAGUCAACAUCAAUUUCUUUUGCUGUAAAAGGGUAAGAGGAAGGUGGCUUCGGCUUCGGUUGAAGUGUUUAUAGCCUUUUAUCUCUGCAGUCGGAGAGAUUGAGGUCUGCAGCGUAGACUCUUCGGGGUUAGAUACGUCGGUGCUAAGCUAUAGCUUUUCAUAGACAACUUGUUGACUAUGUUUAGUCAUGUGGCUUACCCGCUGGCGCUAUUUUACCUACGCUUAGGAUGUUGAGUCAUCACACAUCUCU